UGGGGAAUCUUGGACAAUGGGCGCAAGCCUGAUCCAGCCAUGCCGCGUGAGUGAAGAAGGCCUUCGGGUUGUAAAGCUCUUUUACCAGGGACGAUAAUGACGGUACCUGGAGAAUAAGCCCCGGCAAACUUCGUGCCAGCAGCCGCGGUAAUACGAAGGGGGCUAGCGUUGUUCGGAAUUACUGGGCGUAAAGCGCACGUAGGCGGAUUGUUAAGUCAGAGGUGAAAUCCCGGAGCUCAACUUCGGAACUGCCUUUGAUACUGGCAAUCUAGAGUCCGGAAGAGGUUAGUGGAAUUCCCAGUGUAGAGGUGAAAUUCGUAGAUAUUGGGAAGAACACCAGUGGCGAAGGCGGCUCACUGGAUCGGUACUGACGCUGAGGUGCGAAAGCGUGGGGAGCAAACAGGAUUAGAUACCCAGGUAGUCCCUGAGCGGGCUGGCAAGGCGCAU
rnacentral:rRNA from 1 species